CCUAAAGUAGAUGGUAAGCUCCAUCUAAGGCUAAAUAUCGCUGUGAGACCGAUAGCAAACAAGUACCGUGAGGGAAAGUUGCAAAGAACUUUGAAGAGAGAGUUCAAUAGGACGUGAAACCGUUUGCAGGUAAACAGAUGGACCCACGAAGUCCAGUUGAGUGAGAAAUUCAAAUUUCUCGGUUUGUUCUCUACUUAUCGCUCUUUUCUUUAAGGAAAGAAGGUUUGUACGAAAACUACCGUGAGAUGCAAUUUUCUUGCUCACGACGGAGCUCUGACUGCUGUUUAACUUAGGUUGUGUAAGGCAGCCUUGGGAUGUGAGAUGUAUCCUAGGAUACUUUUCUACAUUCUGAGGUUCAUGACUAAGUUGAACCAAGCGGUUGAAUUUCUCACUUAUGUGAGUGUUCAGGUUGUCUGUAUUCUUGAGCGGGUAGAGUGUGCUGGUCUAUAGAUUUUCGACUCUUGUAGUUGAAGUUUAUAGAAGCUGUGCAUUCAUUAUACUUGUUCAAUAAUACUAAUGAUAAUCCAGAGUAAGUAGGUCGGUCAUCCAUCUGA
rnacentral:rRNA from 1 species